rnacentral:misc_RNA from 1 species
GAUGAAGAACGCAGUGAAAUGCGAUAAGUAAUGCGAAUUGCAGAAUUCAGUGAAUCAUCGAAUCUUUGAACGCACAUUGCGCCCGCUAGUAUUCUGGCGGGCAUGCCUGUUCGAGCGUCAUUUCAACCAUCAAGCCCCCAGGGGCUUGUGCUGGGGCCCUGCGGCUGCCCGCAGGCCCUGAAAACCAGUGGCGGGCUCGCUAGUCACACCGAGCGCAGUAGCACAUCUCGCUCAGGGCGUGCGGCGGGCUCCUGCCGUGAAACCCCCCACUGUAACCCCAAAGGUUGACCUCGGAUCAGGUAGGAAUACCCGCUGAACUUAAGCAUAUCAAUAAGCGGAGGA